rnacentral:rRNA from 1 species
GAUGAACGCUGGCGGCGUGCUUAACACAUGCAAGUCGAACGGUGAACACGGAGCUUGCUCUGUGGGAUCAGUGGCGAACGGAUGAGUAACACGUGAGCAACCUGCCCCUGACUCUGGGAUAAGCGCUGGAAACGGCGUCUAAUACUGGAUAUGUGACGUGAUCGCAUGGUCUGCGUCUGGAAAGAAUUUCGGUUGGGGAUGGGCUCGCGGCCUAUCAGCUUGUUGGUGAGGUAAUGGCUCACCAAGGCGUCGACGGGUAGCCGGCCUGAGAGGGUGACCGGCCACACUGGGACUGAGACACGGCCCAGACUCCUACGGGAGGCAGCAGUGGGGAAUAUUGCACAAUGGGCGCAAGCCUGAUGCAACAACGCCGCGUGAGGGACGACGGCCUUCGGGUUGUAAACCUCUUUUAGCAGGGAAGAAGCGAAAGUGACGGUACCUGCAGAAAAAGCGCCGGCUAACUACGUGCCAGCAGCCGCGGUAAUACGUAGGGCGCAAGCGUUAUCCGGAAUUAUUGGGCGUAAAGAGCUCGUAGGCGGUUUGUCGCGUCUGCUGUGAAAUCCGGAGGCUCAACCUCCGGCCUGCAGUGGGUACGGG